GCUGUCUGCAUUCCUUUCUGCCCGACUGGCUGCCUCAGGGGCUGUGUAAGGUGCAGUUUCUUCAUGCCUCUGUGAUGCAGAAUGCUAGAGCAGUUCAACGGAGACUGGCUUCUGAAGGUGACCAGGAGUUUGAAGCUACCUCACAGAGGCAGCCGCACUGGAUCCCUUGAAGACAAACCAGAGAAGUGCCAUGUCCUGGGGAAUACGUCUGUGCUUUGCCUGGGAUCUGGGCUCCUAGAUGUCUAAUGUACAGCUAUAACUGCUGAAUUGUGUUGUUGAAGGUAUGUGGCUGUUUCUGUAUA
rnacentral:lncRNA from 1 species